AAGCGGAGGAAAAGAAACUAACAAGGAUUCCCCUAGUAACGGCGAGUGAACCGGGAUGAGCUCAAAUUUGUAAUCUGGCGUGCUCCGCGCGUCCGAGUUGUAAUCUAUAGAAGCGUUUUCCGUGCCGGACCGUGUCCAAGUCCCUUGGAACAGGGUAUCAAAGAGGGUGACAAUCCCGUACUUGACACGACGACCGGUGCUCUGUGAUACGUUUUCUACGAGUCGAGUUGUUUGGGAAUGCAGCUCAAAACGGGUGGUAAAUUCCAUCUAAGGCUAAAUAUUGGCGAGAGACCGAUAGCGAACAAGUACCGUGAGGGAAAGAUGAAAAGCACUUUGGAAAGAGAGUUAAACAGUACGUGAAAUUGUUGAAAGGGAAACGAUUGAAGUCAGUCGUGUCCAAGGGAUUCAGCCGGUUCUUCCGGUCUACUUCUCUUGGACGGGUCAACAUCAGUUUUGGCCGGUGGAUAAAGGCUGGAGGAAUGUGGCACCCUCGGGUGUGUUAUAGCCUCCUGUCACAUACAUCGGCCGAGACUGAGGAAUGCAGCUCGCCUCACGGCCGGGGUUCGCCCACGUACGAGCUUAGGAUGUUGACAUAAUGGCUUUAAACGACCCGUCUUGA
rnacentral:rRNA from 1 species